UGGGGAAUAUUGCACAAUGGGCGCAAGCCUGAUGCAGCCAUGCCGCGUGUGUGAAGAAGGCCUUCGGGUUGUAAAGCACUUUCAGCGAGGAGGAAGGUGGUGAACUUAAUACGUUCAUCAAUUGACGUUACUCGCAGAAGAAGCACCGGCUAACUCCGUGCCAGCAGCCGCGGUAAUACGGAGGGUGCAAGCGUUAAUCGGAAUUACUGGGCGUAAAGCGCACGCAGGCGGUUUGUUAAGUCAGAUGUGAAAUCCCCGGGCUCAACCUGGGAACUGCAUUUGAAACUGGCAAGCUAGAGUCUCGUAGAGGGGGGUAGAAUUCCAGGUGUAGCGGUGAAAUGCGUAGAGAUCUGGAGGAAUACCGGUGGCGAAGGCGGCCCCCUGGACGAAGACUGACGCUCAGGUGCGAAAGCGUGGGGAGCAAACAGGAUUAGAUACCCCU
rnacentral:rRNA from 1 species